ACUACGGGAGGCAGCAGUGAGGAAUAUUGGUCAAUGGCCGUAAGGCUGAACCAGCCAAGUCGCGUGAAGGAAGAAGGAUCUAUGGUUUGUAAACUUCUUUUAUAGGGGAAUAAAGGUAUCCACGUGUGGAUAUUUGCAUGUACCCUAUGAAUAAGCAUCGGCUAACUCCGUGCCAGCAGCCGCGGUAAUACGGAGGAUGGGAGCGUUAUCCGGAUUGAGUGGGUUUAAAGGGUGCGUAGGUUUUUUUUUAAGUCAGCGGUGAAAGUUGGUGGCUCAACCAUAAAAGUGCCGUUGAAACUGGAAGACUUGAGUGUGUUUGAGGUAGGCGGAAUGCGUGGUGUAGCGGUGAAAUGCAUAGAGAUCACGCAGAACUCCGAUUGCGAAGGCAGCUUACUAAGCCAUAACUGACACUGAAGCACGAAAGCGUGGGGAUCAAACAGGAUUAGAUACCCCUGUAGUC
rnacentral:rRNA from 1 species